CAGUCGCCGCGGGAAUACGUAGGUGGCGAGCGUUGUCCGGAUUUAUUGGGCGUAAAGGGAGUGUAGGCGGUCUUUUAAGUCUGAUGUGAAAGCCCACGGCUCAACCGUGGAGGGUCAUUGGAAACUGGGAGACUUGAGUGCAGAAGAGGAGAGCGGAAUUCCAUGUGUAGCGGUGAAAUGCGUAGAUAUAUGGAGGAACACCAGUGGCGAAGGCGGCUCUCUGGUCUGUAACUGACGCUGAGGCUCGAAAGCGUGGGGAGCAAACAGGAUUAGAUACCCGCGUAGUCCCUGUCUCUUAUAC
rnacentral:rRNA from 1 species